GACAGAGGUGCCGAGCGUUAGGCGGAAUCACUGGGCUUAAAGCGCGUGUAGACGGGCGGGUACGUCGGCGACUGAAAGCCCCCGGCUCAACCGGGGAAGGGGUGCCGAAACGGCCGGCCUGGAGGGGCGUAGGGGGACCUGGAACUUCCGGUGGAGCGGUGAAAUGCGUUGAGAUCGGAAGGAACGCCCGUGGCGAAAGCGAGGUCCUGGACGCCAACUGACGCUGAGACGCGAAAGCCAGGGGAGCGAACGGG
rnacentral:rRNA from 1 species